AGGUAAAGUGGCCGAAUAGGUGUUAAGCUGUAGCCUUAAUAAUAGAGGUUUAAACCCUCUCUGUACCAA
rnacentral:tRNA from 1 species